CUUGCCUCCAAAGGACAAGCAGUCAUCUCAUCUGUCAUGUUUUCGAGGGCGUUAAGCUCUCUGGUUCUGAGAACAACUCUGGGCACCUUUAUCGCUACCUUAGUCAGUGGUGCGGUGGUGGCAUUCUACACAUACAAGCUUCUACCAAAUGACAAGCCCGGCUUAAAACCUGG